rnacentral:rRNA from 1 species
UACGGAGGGUGCGAGCGUUGUCCGGAAUACUGGGCGUAAAGCGUGCGCAGGCGGUGAUGUAAGACAGAUGUGAAAUCCCCGGGCUCAACCUGGGAACUGCAUUUGUGACUGCAUCGCUGGAGUGCGGCAGAGGGGGAUGGAAUUCCGCGUGUAGCAGUGAAAUGCGUAGAUAUGCGGAGGAACACCGAUGGCGAAGGCAAUCCCCUGGGCCUGCACUGACGCUCAUGCACGAAAGCGUGGGGAGCAAACAGG